AAGGCUACGAUGGUUAGCUGGUCUGAGAGGAUGAUCAGCCACACUGGAACUGACACACGGUCCAGACUCCUACGGGAGGCAGCAGUGAGGAAUUAUGCGCAAUGGGGGAAACCCUGACGCAGCAACGCCGCGUGAGUGAUGAAGGCUUUCGGGUCGUAAAGCUCUGUCAAGUGGGAAGAACCUGUCCGAUGCCAAUACCAUCGGGCACUGACGGUACCACUGAAGGAAGCACCGGCUAACUCCGUGCCAGCAGCCGCGGUAAUACGGGGGGUGCAAGCGUUAUUCGGAAUCAUUGGGCGUAAAGGGCGCGUAGGCGGCCUCUUAAGUCAGAUGUGAAAGCCCGGGGCUUAACCCCGGAAGUGCAUUUGAAACUAAGAAGCUUGAGUAUGGGAGAGGGAAGUGGAAUUCCUGGUGUAGAGGUGAAAUUCGUAGAUAUCAGGAGGAACACCGGUGGCGAAGGCGACUUCCUGGACCAAUACUGACGCUGAGGCGCGAAGGCGUGGGUAGCAAACAGGAUUAGAUACCCUGGUAGUCCACGCAGUAAACGUUGUUCACUAGGUGUAGCGGGUAUUGACCCCUGCUGUGCCGCAGUUAACGCAUUAAGUGGACCGCCUGGGAAGUACGGCCGCAAGGUUAAAACUCAAAGGAAUUGACGGGGGCCCGCACAAGCGGUGGAGCAUGUGGUUUAAUUCGACGCAACGCGAAGGACCUUACCUGGGUUUGACAUCCCGAGAAGUCUCUUGAAAGAGAGAUGUGCCCUUCGGGGAGCUCGGAGACAGGUGCUGCAUGGCUGUCGUCAGCUCGUGUCGUGAGAUGUUGGGUUAAGUCCCGCAACGAGCGCAACCCUUAUCUUUAGUUACCAGCAUUCAGUUGGGGACUCUAAAGAUACUGCCCCGGUUAACGGGGAGGAAGGUGGGGAUGACGUCAAGUCCUCAUGGCCCUUAUACCCAGGGCUACACACGUGCUACAAUGGGCUGUACAAAGGGUCGCAAACCCGCGAGGGCGAGCUAAUCCCAUAAAGCAGCUCUAAGUUCGGAUUGGAGUCUGCAACUCGACUCCAUGAAGCUGGAACCGCUAGUAAUCGUGGAUCAGCACGCCACGGUGAAUACGUUCCCGGGCCUUGUACACACCGCCCGUCACACCAUGAGAGUUGGUUGUACCAGAAGUUGUUGGACCAACCCGCAAGGGGGGUAAGCACCUAAGGUAUGGCUGAUGAUUGGGGUGAAGUCAACAAGGUA
rnacentral:rRNA from 1 species